rnacentral:rRNA from 1 species
UACGUAGGGCGCAAGCGUUGUCCGGAAUUAUUGGGCAUAAAGAGCUCGUAGGCGGUCUGUCGCGUCUGCCGUGAAAACCCGAGGCUUAACCUCGUGGCUUGCGGUGGAUACGGGCAGACUAGAGGUAGGUAGGGGAGAAUGGAAUUCCCGGUGUAGCGGUGAAAUGCGCAGAUAUCGGGAGGAACACCGGUGGCGAAGGCGGUUCUCUGGGCCUUACCUGACGCUGAGGAGCGAAAGCAUGGGGGAGCGAACAGGGAUU